UACGGAGGGUGCAACCGUUGCUCGGAAUCAUUGGGCGUAAAGCGCACGUAGGCGGUCCAGCAAGUCGGGUGUGAAAGCCCUCGGCUUAACCGGGGAAGUGCAUUCGAAACUACUGGACUUGAGUACUGAAGAGGAUCGCGGAAUUCCCGGUGUAGAGGUGAAAUUCGUAGAUAUCGGGAGGAACACCAGUGGCGAAGGCGGCGAUCUGGGCAGAUACUGACGCUGAGGUGCGAAAGCGUGGGGAGCAAACAGG
rnacentral:rRNA from 1 species